ACUCAUGCACUUUUGUAUGCAAAAUUUGUUUCAUACACAAGGAAUGUAACUCUUAUUCAUUGAUUGGAUCUGUUGGCUCUAAUUGUCUCUCUUUUAGUGCGGAGUAUAUUUCAUGGAGAUUACUCAAUUGGCAAGACAAAAAUAUUAAGAUUCAUUGUAAAGGAAACUGACCAUCUCCUUAAUGAUAGAUAUAGUUCUCAUCUUCCAUAGUUUUUCUUUUUCUAUGUAGAGCCAUUAACAAUUGGAUUUUUUCGAAAAAAAAUUGGAGCAAUCAUAUACAACUUCCAGGCUGCCGGCUCAAUGGUUGGUUGUCUCACUUUCCUGUGUAUGUUUUGGAUGUUCUCUAUAUACUACUACUCGAAAUUUCAGGUAAAAUUAUAGCUCUCUUCCAUUCAUCAAACUACUGUUAUGAAUAAACACUUGAAUAUGUAUGCAUUUUUCAAUAGAACUAUGUGUACUAUCACCGAGUUUUUUACAUUGUCUUCUCACAAAUCUGAAAAUAAAUGUUUAUCUUAUCAUUUUGUGUGCUUUCAUAGUUUGUGAAACGGAAUGAAUGAAGUCUUCUGGUUAAAUAUUUGCAAUACAUACCUUUUCUAGAUGCUUGUGACCAUGGAGUGAGUGUGUUGUAACUUAAAAAUGCAGCUCUUUUGAUAUCAAUUCAGUAAUGAUUCUUCCUAACAUUUUUGCUCAUUGAUAAAUCUUUUUCGUAACCCUUGGCUUAGAUUUGGAUGGUGGCUUAUCCCCCACUUUAGAUUUGGAUGGUCUCCUUUGGUACUUUACUGUAAGAAACAAAAAUAAAAUUUCUCUUGACUCAGCCUGAAAUUUUUUCUCAUUACUGUGUGGAUAUGACUGAUACCGAUAAUCUUGGCAAUCACGAUGGUGGUAGAAGGGUCAACCUCAGAUGCUUUGAGGGUUAGGGCGACUCGAAUCAUGGGCCCGGGAUAACCAAAUAUCAUAGAGAUUGUUAGUUAUCCCACUAGUUUAACUGAGAUCCAUGCCAACGAAUUGACAUAAUACGUUUUGUAAAUUUCCCCAUUGGAAUCCUAGAUCGUCUCUCCCAUGUCCUUUUCCUUUAUGGAUAUAUGGGUGCAUGAUUUCUCCGGCAGGUAUUUGGUGAUAUUCUGGUGCUCCCUCCCUGGGUUGAGGAUUGCUAUUUUUUGCUUUUUUAUUUGAUGGGUUGAUAAUGAUUUGUGCUGUAAUUCUGAGCAUUAACAUGGAGUGUAUAGCAAAGAACGACCAUUCUAAAUGGUCGAAAAGUAGGUAGUAGAAGGAAGAUGCAAAGACAACAAGUUAGAAAAAGAACUUCCCCGCUAUGUGGUCUGAUAAGGCUUUUACCAUGAACUACUGUGUCACCUGAGAUUUGAAGACACUUCGGAGGGUAUUUAACGAGUGUUUUUGAGAUUCCGUAUGACAUCUCAGCUGUUCAAUUAGCUUCCGUUGAAGGGGCUGGUCGCAUGAACGUUAUGUGGCUGCUUGGAAAAUUCAACGUUCAUUGGUCUUGCAUUUUGGAGACAGCUAGAUUUAUCAUCAUGGCGUAGAAGAGUAAGACAGUUUGGAAUAUAUAUAUAUAUAUCCUAGGGUGUGCAUUUUUUCAUAUUGACCCUGUACAUUUCAUUAGUUUGCUUUUACAUGGAACCUCAAAGUCUAGGACACAUUUCUUUGUCCUGUAAUUUCCAAUGUCCAGCCGACACCUAGGAAACAUCAUUUACCUUCUAACACGUGGAUUGUGAUGAAAGUGGACACAAUUAAAAUAAAGAAAACGGUUUGAUGUUUAUCUUAUCAGACCCACGUCUCUGUUUGUGAAACCUCUUUGAAAUUGCAUCUGUUUUCCCUGGCCUUUUCACAAUUUCCAUCCUAACUAUUUGAUUACCUUCUUCUCUUCAAUGAUUUGAGUGCCGGUGGCUUCCCACGUGUGAGGCUUAAGCUGCGAGCAAAUACCUUUCUUAUGAACGAGGACUUUGAAUAGGUUUAAACACCAGGAUGAGGCCUAUUUAUUUAAUUAAUGGGCAAGUGGAAGAGUGACAUUUUAAAUUGCAUCGGAUGCCUGCCAUGCUUGCUUGCUGUGCCAUCCUUCCCUUGAUGUUAUGGGUGAAUGACCAAUCCACCAAGUACUGACCUUUGCAUCAUUUUAACCCUUCUUCCUUAAUCUAUGUAAUUAAACUCCCUACAUUUUUUACUAGAUGGUUUGGUAAGUAUAUUUACUGCAGUAUUUGCAGGUGAAAGAGAUUGGCAAUGUCAGUUUUCAGUGAUUAUUGCAACAGGCUCUUUUUCAUUCCUUUUUUUUUUUUUUUUUUCUUUUGUAAUUAUUUAAAAAGUCUUAGCUGAUAGGUGGGAUUGAUUAGCACAUUUUUCCGCUGUUUGAUUAUUGACAAAAGUUGCAACCAGUUUUCUUCUUUCUUUGACACAUUCAUUUUCAUUCAAUUUCAUCUUCUUUCUACUCAUUUUGAGAAGAAAAUUGCCAACUGACAAAGAUGCCCACUUAUAAUGGUGGGUUAGGAGAAAGGCAAUCUUGGUUCCCUCUUGGUUUAGCUUGAUAAUUAUAUCUACCGCUGUUGGUGAAAAAAAAAAAAAA